rfam:Desulfotomaculum aeronauticum DSM 10349 genome assembly, contig: EJ44DRAFT_scaffold00043.43
UUUAUGGAGAGUUUGAUCCUGGCUCAGGACGAACGCUGGCGGCGUGCUUAACACAUGCAAGUCGAACGGGGUUUAAGUGGAAGCUUGCGAAACUUAAACUUAGUGGCGCACGGGUGA